UUAUAAGAGACAGCAGCCGCCGCGGUAAAACGGAGGGUGCAAGCGUUAUCCGGAUUUAUUGGGUUUAAAGGGUCCGUAGGCGGAUCUGUAAGUCAGUGGUGAAAUCUCACAGCUUAACUGUGAAACUGCCAUUGAUACUGCAGGUCUUGAGUAAAUUUGAAGUGGCUGGAAUAAGUAGUGUAGCGGUGAAAUGCAUAGAUAUUACUUAGAACACCAAUUGCGAAGGCAGGUCACUAAGAUUUAACUGACGCUGAUGGACGAAAGCGUGGGGAGCGAACAGGAUUAGAUACCCGCGUAGUCCCUGUCUCUUAUAC
rnacentral:rRNA from 1 species